rnacentral:sRNA from 1 species
UUUGUAGCCUGGAUGUGUCUGCUAGUAGCCGAAUGGUGGUCACAGGAGACAACGUGGGGAACGUGAUCCUGCUGAACAUGGACGGCAAAGAGCUUUGGAAUCUCAGAAUGCACAAAAAGAAAGUGACGCAUGUGGCCCUGAACCCAUGCUGUGAUUGGUUCCUGGCCACAGCCUCCGUAGAUCAAACAGUGAAAAUUUGGGACCUGCGCCAGGUUAGAGGGAAAGCCAGCUUCCUCUACUCGCUGCCGCACAGGCAUCCUGUCAACGCAGCUUGUUUCAGUCCCGAUGGAGCCCGGCUCCUGACCACGGACCAGAAGAGCGAGAUCCGAGUUUACUCUGCUUCCCAGUGGGACUGCCCCCUGGGCCUGAUCCCGCACCCUCACCGUCACUUCCAGCACCUCACACCCAUCAAGGUGAGUGGCGGUGGGAAGGAGCUCGCAGAAGGAGGCUGUGAUCAUGAGGCCGGAGCAGGUCUGCCCACAGUGGGGAAGGGCUGAUGUGGUAAGCCUGCCACCCCAGAUCGCUCCUGGCCCGAGCACAGAGCAUCUCUUACCCAUUGGCUCUCUCUCUUCCUUUUAUCCCACUUCUGCCAUCCCAUAUGGUUGAGUUUUCUUUCUGUCUCGCUGAUAAGAUAUUUUUCUGAGUUUUUUCAGCCCAGCUCUGAUCUCACUGUGAGAAUUUUCUAAGAUCCUGACCCUCUGUUCUGUCUUCUCAGCUUCAGUUACCUGUGUACAGUUGACCCACAAACCUUCAUUUUUUAUUAUUUUAUUAUUUUUUUUAAGGCAGGGUCUCGCUCUGUCACCCAGGUGGGAGUACAGUGGGGCAAUCAUGGUUCAUUACAGCCUUGAUCUCCCAGGCUCAAGCGAUCCUCCUGCCUCACUUUUUUUUUUUUUUUUUUUUUGUAGAGACAGGGUAUUCUUGUGUUACCCAGGCUUAUCCUUUUUUUUUUUUUUUUUUUCUUCUUGAAACGGUCUUGCUCUGUCACCCAGGCUGGAGUGCAGUGGCACAAACAUAGCUCACUGCAGCCUCAACCUCCUGGGUUCAAGCAAUCCUUCCGCCUUAGCCUCGGAAGUAGAUUGGACUACAGGUAUGCGCCACC